CCAGACUCCUACGGGAGGCAGCAGUGAGGAAUAUUGGUCAAUGGGCGGGAGCCUGAACCAGCCAAGUCGCGUGAGGGAAGACGGUCCUACGGAUUGUAAACCUCUUUUGCCGGGGAGCAACGGGGUCCUUGCGAGGGCCCGAUGAGAGUACCCGGAGAAAAAGCAUCGGCUAACUCCGUGCCAGCAGCCGCGGUAAUACGGAGGAUGCGAGCGUUAUCCGGAUUUAUUGGGUUUAAAGGGUGCGCAGGCGGUCUGUUAAGUCAGCGGUCAAAGCCCGGGGCUCAACCCCGGUCCGCCGUUGAAACUGGCAGUCUCGAGUUGGAGAGAAGUAUGCGGAAUGCGCGGUGUAGCGGUGAAAUGCAUAGAUAUCGCGCAGAACUCCGAUUGCGAAGGCAGCAUACCGGCGCCCAACUGACGCUGAAGCACGAAAGCGUGGGUAUCGAACAGGAUUAGAUACCCUUGUAAA
rnacentral:rRNA from 1 species